GAUUCUGGCUCAGAACGAACGCUGGCGGCAGGCCUAACACAUGCAAGUCGAGCGCGCCCUUCGGGGUGAGCGGCGGACGGGUUAGUAACGCGUGGGAACGUACCCUUUGGUAGGGAAUAGCCACUGGAAACGGUGAGUAAUACCCUAUGAGCCCUUCGGGGGAAAGAUUUAUCGCCAAAGGAUCGGCCCGCGUUAGAUUAGGUAGUUGGUGGGGUAAUGGCCUACCAAGCCUACGAUCUAUAGCUGGUUUUAGAGGAUGAUCAGCAACACUGGGACUGAGACACGGCCCAGACUCCUACGGGAGGCAGCAGUGGGGAAUCUUGGACAAUGGGGGCAACCCUGAAUCCAGCCAUGCCGCGUGAGUGAAGAAGGCCUUAGGGUCGUAAAGCUCUUUCGCCUGUGAAGAUAAUGACGGUAGCAGGUAAAGAAACCCCGGCUAACUCCGUGCCAGCCGCAGC
rnacentral:rRNA from 1 species